rnacentral:rRNA from 1 species
AUUGAACGCUGGCGGCGUGCUUAACACAUGCAAGUCGAACGAAGUGGCGAACGGGUGAGUAAUACGUGGGUAACCUGCCCUCUUAUUUGGGAUAAGCCUUGGAAACGGGGUCUAAUACCGAAUAAAGGGGGAUGGGCUCGCGGCCUAUCAGCUUGUUGGUGGGGUGAUGGCCUACCACGGCGGUGACGGGUAGCCGGCCGGAGAGGGUGACCGGCCACAUUGGGACUGAGAUACGGCCCAGACUCCUACGGGAGGCAGCAGUGGGGAAUAGUGCACAAUGGGCGCAAGCCUGAUGCAGCCAUGCCGCGUGUAUGAAGAAGGCCCUAGGGUUGUAAAGUACUUUCAGUCGGGAGGGCCUGCUUCGAAAAGAAGCACCGGCUAACUCCGUGCCAGCCGCCGCGGUAAUUC